rnacentral:rRNA from 1 species
UGGGGAAUUUUGGACAAUGGGCGAAAGCCUGAUCCAGCAAUGCCGCGUGUGUGAAGAAGGCCUUCGGGUCGUAAAGCACUUUUGUCCGGAAAGAAAUCCUUGGCUCUAAUGCAGUCGGGGGAUGACGGUACCGGAAGAAUAAGCACCGGCUAACUACGUGCCAGCAGCCGCGGUAAUACGUAGGGUGCAAGCGUUAAUCGGAAUUACUGGGCGUAAAGCGUGCGCAGGCGGUUUGCUAAGACCGAUGUGAAAUCCCCGGGCUCAACCUGGGAACUGCAUUGGUGACUGGCAGGCUAGAGUAUGGCAGAGGGGGGUAGAAUUCCACGUGUAGCAGUGAAAUGCGUAGAGAUGUGGAGGAAUACCGAUGGCGAAGGCAGCCCCCUGGGCCAAUACUGACGCUCAUGCACGAAAGCGUGGGGAGCAAACAGGAUUAGAUACCCUGGUAGUCCACGCCCUAAAACGAUGUCAACUAGUUGUUGGGGAUUCAUUUCCUUAGUAACGUAGCUAACGCGUGAAGUUGACCGCCUGGGGAGUACGGUCGCAAGAUUAAAACUUAAAUGAAUUGACGGGGUCAUAGCUGUUUCCU